ACAAAGGCUCUUUUAAGAGCCACAUCAGUUUAAUGCAAAGGGCUU
rfam:Takifugu rubripes chromosome, Chr_17